UACGGAAGGUGCAAGCGUUGUUCGGAUUGACUGGGCGUAAAGAGCACGUAGGCGGGUUUGUAAGUCGAUUGUGAAAGCCCUGGGCUUAACCUGGGAACGGCAAUCGAAACUGCAAAUCUUGAAUACCUGAGGGGUUAGUAGAAUUCCUGGUGUAGGAGUGAAAUCCGUAGAUAUCAGGAGGAAUACCGGCGGCGAAGGCGGCUAACUGGCAGAGUAUUGACGCUGAGGUGCGAAAGCGUGGGGAGCAAACAGG
rnacentral:rRNA from 1 species